CCGCGCUCUGCUGAUGGGAGUCUUCACUCAGGAGACUCUGCUGAGGAGCAACCUCAGAGGGGGCAAGUCUAAGAGGGCUGAGGGGGAGCAAAGGGAGUCCCUGGACCCUGAGAGGGUGAAGGCCAUAAUGGACACCACCCAGAGGAGAUUCACAGACACUCCUGCAGGAUUGCUGGGCCAGGCAAUCAAUGC